rnacentral:lncRNA from 1 species
GGGGGCAUCCUUACCGGCGUCCAUGUACAUAACGCAGCCUCCAUAGUGGCCCUGACUUAUUGCUUUCGCUAUCCGCUGGACAGCGCGGUUGUGACGCGCAAUGUAGGCUGCUUUCAUGCGUGGGUGGGUGCAGCCGCCCAGGGUGUGCGUGCCACCGUCGUCGCCGCGGCACAGGGGGCAUUCGCCGCCUGCGCAGCCGGGCAUGGGGUGUUUUACUCUUGCGGCCCGCUUGGCAUUCCAGGAGAGGCCCCAGCGGUAUUUGAACGCGCAGCGGGCCUCUUCAAAUGAGAACUUGUCGAACAGGUUUAGGCCGUAGCGUUCGUCGAUGUGCUUCCUCGCUGCCUCCCAUAGUUCCGCGUACAGUCCUGAUUUGGUAUAACCGGUCGCGGUGGAUUUACGGGCCAUUUUCUUCAGGUCGCGAUUGAGGUCGUUGGCGUAGCGCAACCGUUCUUCCAAAUUGCCAUUGUGCUCCACAAUUUCCUUCUGGGCAAUCCAUCCCUCUAAGGGUUCAUAUGGGUGCGAGUAUAGAGUUUCUGUCGCAUCCGGCUGCACUGUUCUGGUGGCCACAGCCUGUGCCGCUUCAUCCGCUUUCUGAUUUCCUACGCAUGUGUCUGUCUGGUGCGAACGUACGUGAUAAAAUGAUGUCUUGUGUCCAGCUAGGGCACGUUCCGCAAGUUGGUCGACUAUGGUCCCAAACAUCUCGCGGUGCUUGCUUACGUGGAGUGACUCGGGCUCCAUAAUGGCGCGACGGAGGAUGAACAGACUGACAAGACUGUCGGUGUAGACCCGCAGGUGAGGUGUGUCGCGAUGGAGGCGGAGCGCCGUGCGUAUGGCGGAUGAUUCACACCGAAGGAUGGUGCUCAGGGGUGUGUUGAAGGCGAUGUCUUCAUCAAUGUGCGUGGCGCGGUUGUCGCUGGCGUCCCAGACCGCCGCUCCCAGGCCCGUGUACUCUCGUGUGUGUGGUACUUUGCUCCCGUCGGUAAAGACCGCGGAGCCUCGUGUGUGUGCGAGCGGGACAUAAGCGCGGUAGAGGGUUGCAAGCUCCGUAGGGGAUGGUAGAGUGGGGGCAUCGCGAGGGGGCUGGGGCUGGGGCGUCUGGCUGCUCUGGGCGAGGAUGCGCCGUUUUAACUUCCGGGGGGUUGGGGGCCACGGGUUGGGUGUGUCUGGGUCCGUGGGGGGUUUACGGGUAGCUAGGUGCGGGGUGUGCCCGAGCGCGUCCGCUAGGGCGAGUGCAAGCCCACUCUCCAGGGCCUGAUUGAGGAGGAGGCGGCCCCUUUCGUUUGUCACGCACAGGAGGUGGAGUCCACGUCGGUGAGCGGGGAGCUCCUGCGGCUGGCCUAGGCCUAGGCCUGCCCAGGCGUGCGCCGGUUUGAUGUGCCCCAGGUCGUGGACCAGUGGGUGCUGGAGCCAGGCUGUGUAGCCGCUGGUGUCGCCAUACGGGACCACCACGACGGACAGGUGCGGUGUGUGCGGUGUUGCCGCCUCGGCGCUGGCGACCGCCCACGCCAUGGCCAGGCUGGUGUGCUCGGGUUGUGGGGGUGGGUGAACGAAGGAGAUUCCAUCUAGCGUGCGGCUGUAGCAGUCGUGGGCGGCCCCGAACUCGGAAUCUUGCGGGUGGGUAGUGUAGUAUGCUGGGAUGUCGCAGUGGGCGUUGAGGGGAGAUGCGAAUGCCUCCGUCUGGAACUUGAUAUGGGACGUGAGCGUGGACAUCAGGUCGGGGCAGAGGGUUACCUCGUGCGCUGGGUUGGUGGAACUCUCCUUGUGGCGUUUGCUGGGGCGGUACCGUAUAAUCAGGGAGGCCAGAGCGGCAGCAAACCUUUCCGGGGGGUGAGUGGGGUUAAGGGUCCUGUACCGGGCGUGGAGUAGGGCAAGUCGGGCAGCGCUAACGGUUCCUAUGCAGCGUCCGUCCGGGCCGUAGACCCUGGCGGGGGGGUCGGGGUCUUGGGGGAGGCCGGACGGCGUGCCUGUGGCGCUGCCCGGCUCACGUGUGCCCAUUUGAAUACAGUAUUGACCUGUCGGGUGGAUGUCUGUGUCCGGGUUACAGGAUUUGACGUCGAUGGUGCUGCACCGGAGGAUCGCACGUUUGCGUGCGGCUUCGCUGGGUGCUGGGUCUCGCCAUCUGCCCUGGCGCUGCUUACUGGUGAGGUGAUUGNNNNNNNNNNNNNNNNNNNNNNNNNNNNNNNNNNNNNNNNNNNNNNNNNNNNNNNNNNNNNNNNNNNNNNNNNNNNNNNNNNNNNNNNNNNNNNNNNNNNCACCGAACCCUAUAGCGACAGCGUUCUGCCCAGGGGGGCUCCUCGGGCGGUGGGCCCUGCUUUCGUUUUCGCUUGGGCGGCGGGGCGUUAGUUUUGUGGGUCAUGGGUCCGCUGACGACGGCUGCGAUAAUGUCGUCGCGGUUAGUUAGAUGGGCGGUGAUGUGCUGUGCUGCCUGUACCCCAGCGAUGGACUGGGGUAGGCGGCCAUUCAGCGCAUUGUCUCUGACUUUGCGCCACGCAGGGCGGGAGCUUGGCUGCGCGGCUGCGCUGUCUCUCCUGGGUGCGGCUGCCCGUGUGGGGGCCCGCGGCUGAAUAGCAUGGUGAGUGUACGGGCAGCGAGUGGGUUGGGAGCCGCGUUUACGCCGGUUAUGCGAGUGUGCGGGCGCGGGCGGUGGGGCUGUGGCGGGGCAGCCAUCGGGUAGGUACAGCCGCUGGUACGUGGGAGCAGCAGGUUGCUGGUAUGGCCGGGUAUUUAGUAGCGCGUGGACUGUGUGGGUGUGUGGGCCGGUGAUUAGUGCGCGGGCUGGCAUUUGCCUGAUUGGGGACCUCCAGGUCCCCGUCCAUCGCGUGGUCCCUAGGGUUUUGCAUUGUUGGGCGAGUGGGGCGAACUCCCUCGCGGCACUCAUGUAGAAAGCUAGGUCCUUUGUGGGGUCGGACGGAUCAUGAACCGUAGAGCCGGGUAGGGCGUCAUCAUUGGCUACGACCCCGGGGUUGCUUGUGCGUGUGUCGUGUUUGAUGAAGUGAGAAUGACGUUGCUUUGCCGUUUGCUUCUGUUUUGCCUGCAGGACUUCUAGGGAAGGCUUUGGUGGAGCCGCGGGGCUCGGUAGUGCCUCUUGCCAGCGGGCCAGGAGGGAGGUGAGAGUUCGUUGGGGUAUGGGUUUAGGUAGGUCUCCAGCUGAAUGGAGGUCGGCCUUGGAGACGCCGGCGGGCAGGGUGCGGCUUUGCAUGGGGAGGGGUUUGUGGCCCAUAGAUUUGGGGGGUGCUUCUGCCGGUUUACACAGGGCGAUGGUAAAUCGGUUUAAGGCCCUCUUGUGCUUGUCUUUCACCCUGCCUUUUGGGAACCGCCGGUCAAGCUGCGUGGUGUCAAUAAUGUGCCGCCCUGUGUUUGCGUCCACCAGGUCCGCCAGGUUCAGUCCAAGGUCGAUGGUCAAGGGGCUGAUCCAGUCGGCGCGAAGGUAGGCGGGCGUGGUGGCUUCAGCGGCCCGUAGUUUAGAGACAAGGGCUGGUAGGGCGGCAGUGAAUUCUUUGCCUUGCAGCAUGGCAAGUAGGUCGUGGUCCUGUAGAAGUGUGAGUUGUUUAAGGGUGACAAAAAAUUGACCCGCCCUUUUCAUGUCGUGCAGUGGGAGGUCACUUCCUGCGUGCGCGGCCUGUAGGUGGAGCAGGCGGCGUGUCACGACACCAAGCCGGCCGGUGUCGUUGAGCGAGAUUACGAGUAGCCUCGAGGCUCUCUGCACGUAUUCUUCCCGGAGUGAGCCGAUCCCGAGGCCGCCUAGCUCGGCGGGUAGUAGGAUGGCCCGGGUGGCGCAAUCGCGUGGUAGACCGACGCAUCUUCGAGCGAUGCCUGCGAUUUGGGCGUCCAAGGCCCGAAUGUCUGGCUGCGUGUAGGCCAUGGUUGGUAAGGAGUAGGCCACUUUGGCUUUCAGGCACUGUUUAAUGAGCAUGUAGCAUUGGCGUGGGAGUUUUCGGUACCUGCUCAGCUCCUCGCCGGCGUCGGUUAGGUCGGCUUUGACCGCUUUCAGUUGGGAGCGCCAGUCUAGUGUCAUAGUGAUUUCAACACCGAGGUAUCGGUAGGGCUUGUGCGGGGGGAUGUAAGGGAGGGUGAUGGCGGAUCGCUUGCCGUCUUUGGUGCAUGUGCCGACAUGGAUGUGGCCCGCCAGGAGGCGUUUGAGGGUGCGGUCACAGGCGGGGCCCUUAAUGCUCUUGUCCGUACUGUUGGCGCUUGCAUAGUGGUGUAGUAUGCCAGUGCACGCGCUCUUGUCGCGGUUGAUGCGCAUGCCGCCCCAGGCAGCGUACCGGGCGAUCUUGUCAGUUUGGCACCUAAGGUUGUCUCGGGAGUUGGCAGCUACAGUCAGGUCGUCCGCGUAGCCUAGGGACGAGCAGUUAUGUUCAUCGUUUUCGCUGUUG